UUCCACUUUGAUGUUCUGCCCCUUACCUGAAAGCGAUGGCCUCUUGUGCCUGACAUAUUAGGAGCAAAGCACAAUGGACUGCUGGCUUAUUGGAAUUGGUUACAAAGAUACAAGUGGACUUGUCUGUAGUAGUUGCUGAAGAGGAGCAGUCAGCACAAGGAGCGUGUGCCUCCAAAACGACGUGGGAACUUCUCCCAAGUUCAUCUCAAAUCACAAGGCUCUUCAGGAAUCAAGAUGUAACAAUGGAGGUUGAGAAGGAGUUUGCGACCCUCCAGAUUUGGACUACUCGCUAUAUACAUUCUCAAACAAUGGAUUGUAGCACUUCUGCACAAAACUCAACAAGUCAUGAUUGAGGAAAACGCAACAAAUACUCAGUUGAGCAUUGAUUUAUGUGACUGGUAUUAGGGUAGGGUUCAGCUUGGUAAUUUUAUAUAAACUAUGUCCCAAAAGAACCUCGUUGGUCCUUAUGGUUCCACGCCACAAGCUGCUCCCUCCCCUGUUUCGGUAAACCGAACCCAGACUAUCAAGGGAUCAAAUGAAUUAAAAUCCACACUUGAUUACAAAUGAA